GACAGAGGGUGCAAACGUUGUUCGGAAUUACUGGGCGUAAAGCGCGUGUAGGCGGCCAUCUAAGUCGGGCGUGAAAUCCCACGGCUCAACCGUGGAAGUGCACUCGAAACUGGAUGGCUAGAGUCCUGGAGAGGAAGGUGGAAUGCUUGGUGUAGAGGUGAAAUUCAUAGAUAUCAAGCGGAACACCGGUGGCGAAGGCGGCCUUCUGGAC
rnacentral:rRNA from 1 species